UCCGAGUUGACCCCGGCAGUCUCCCAUGAGUCCCCGCCACUACGCGCUGGCAACAUGGAACGAGGGUUGCGCUCGUUGCGGGACUUAACCCAACAUCUCACGACACGAGCUGACGACAGCCAUGCAGCACCUGUGUUCAGGCUCCCUUUCGGGCACGAAUUCAUCUCUGAAAACUUCCUGACAUGUCAAGGGUAGGUAAGGUUUUUCGCGUUGCAUCGAAUUAAUCCACAUAAUCCACCGCUUGUGCGGGUCCCCGUCAAUUCCUUUGAGUUUUAACCUUGCGACCGUACUCCCCAGGCGGAGUGCUUAAUGCGUUAGCUGCGGCACAGAGCGGGUUGAAGACCGCCCCACACCUAGCACUCAACGUUUACGGCUGGGACUAC
rnacentral:misc_RNA from 1 species